UCAAGGUGCUUGCUCUCUCUAAGUAGAUCGCAUAUAAGCUCGAUAAUAGGUGUCAUAACCGGACACUGUCUAAUAGGAAAGCACGCCACGAGACUAGGCGUAUUCUCAAAUGACUUUUGCAGAAGCUGUAUGGACGAGGAUGAGGAAGAAACAUGCACAUGCCCAAGUCUGGAUCGAAAACGCAAGAUUUACCUAGGAGAAUUCUUCAUUAACGAUCUAAAUCAUAUCAGUAUAAUCAACCUCUCACGUUUCGUAAGGGACUCAAACUGGUUCCAUUGAGCUUAGGAGGAAGCCUCAAGAUUCAUGUGGUCUCACAAUGGGCCAUUAAACUGGCCUAAGUGUGUCCGUUUCCAUCUUGGACAGCCACUAUAACCUAACCUAACCUGACCUAACCUGAAUUAAUAAUGCAGUUGACUGCAAACGAAGUCCUUAAUGUUGUCUAAUCCUUUUUUUUCAAUUAGCGGCCACUCAAGGGGUUAUUAACAACCCUAAUAUGUUUAAGUUUUAAACACAGUGCGAGCUUUAGGAAAAUAGGAAAGGAUUAAAGAGAAGAUACCGAUGCACAUUGGUCUUAAGGUUUUGAAUAUCAUAAUGAUAAAGACAAACUAAGUAAGGUAAAGCAUUCCACAUUCUCGAUGUGUGGUUAAAAAAGGAAUCUCUAUACUUGAUAGUACGUCUGAAAUUGAGCUCAAUGUUAAACUAAUGUGCAUUCCUAAAAGUACGAGUAUUCCCUUCCCAACGAAGGGAAUGAAACAUUCCGCCGGUGUUCUAGUGACGUAGUUGUUUCGGUUAUAGUUCUAUCGCCUAUCAUUUUCAAAGCCCUUUUUUGGAUCCUGUACAAAAUACUUAAACUUGUUUUAGGUUUACCUGCUCAUGAACGGAAGUAUGCGAACUUAUAAUAAUCAACUCUCGAGUUCAGAUUUAGAAUAGUGAAGAAAAACAACUUGUGUCUCAACAGUCAAGUUUGUGUCAACUCUAGAGUUAACCAACUUACUGUUCAGAGAGGGAAGACUUCGACGACGACGACAACGACGAAAACAACGUGAGAUAAGAGGAUGGUGGUGGUGAAGGUGAUGAUGUCUGGUGUGUGAUGAUUAUAUAAUGAAUAGUUUUUCUUGUAUGAACUACUCUAUUCAAAAUCAUGCUACUACCUACACUCCUACACCUACUGCCUGCCUGCCACUGCUACUGCUACUGCUACUGCAAUGCAAUUCAUAUUCAACCCUCCUCCAAAUUCACUUACCUUUUAGUUAGGAGCAAUCAAGGUUUUUUGUGUACUAUGGAUGAAGAAGUGAAGAAAAAAAGAAUUAGUCCAACUCAGAAAACCAAGUUUUUCCUCCUUCAGCUUCGGUUUUGUUGUUGCUGUUGUUGGUGGUAUUGCCUGAGAGCUAUAUUAUAUUCCUUCUCGUCCCAGUUGUUUUUGUUGUUGCUGCAAGUUUUAUAUCUUUUGAUUUUUCUUCUUAAUUGUUUGUCGUUGUCGUGGAUUGAGUUUUUUUUUUCGAACAAAACGGCAAACGGCGAGCCCGAGCACACCAACCAAAUCCAGCAAUAAACGAAAAAAAAAAGAAUUAAGCAAAGAAGAGAUCCGCACCCAGUUUUACUUAUUUUUACAACUUCUUAACUUUUGUUCGAAUAUUUCGAGCACACACGCAACGAAAAUUAACAAUUUUCCUAAUAAAUUAUCAAUGAAAAGCGAAAUUAAGUGAACUGUACUUUAUU